AGGACUAACGCUGGCGGCGUGCCUAACACAUGCAAGUCGAACGAGAGUAGCAAUACUCUAGUGGCAGACGGGUGAGUAACACGUGGUCAACCUACCUUUAAGUGGGGGAUAACUAGCCGAAAGGUUAGCUAAUACCGCAUACGAUCUUCGCGUGGCAUCACAUGAAGAUGAAAGGAGCAAUCCGCUGAAAGACGGGACCGCGUCCCAUUAGCCAGUUGGUGGGGUAACGGCCUACCAAAGCAACGAUGGGUAGCUGGCUUGAGAGAGCGACCAGCCACACUGGGACUGAGACACGGCCCAGACUCCUACGGGAGGCAGCAGUGAGGAAUUUUUCCGCAAUGGGCGAAAGCCUGACGGAGCGACGCCGCGUGUGGGAUGAAGGCCUUCGGGUCGUAAACCACUGUCGAAGGGGAAGAUAUUGACGGUACCCUUGGAGGAAGCCCCGGCUAACUACGUGCCAGCAGCCGC
rnacentral:rRNA from 1 species